AGCAGUCGCCGCGGGAAUACGUAGGGUGCAAGCGUUAAUCGGAAUCACUGGGCGUAAAGCGUGCGCAGGCGGUUUGUUAAGACAGAUGUGAAAUCCCCGGGCUUAACCUGGGAACUGCAUUUGUGACUGGCAAGCUAGAGUCUGGCAGAGGGGGGUGGAAUUCCGCGUGUAACAGUGAAAUGCGUAGAUAUGUGGAGGAACACCAGUGGCGAAGGCGACUCUCUGGGCUGUAACUGACGCUGAGGCGCGAAAGCGUGGGGAGCAAACAGGAUUAGAUACCCCUGUAGUCCCUGUCUCUUAUAC
rnacentral:rRNA from 1 species